rnacentral:rRNA from 1 species
CCCUUAGAUGUUCUGGGCCGCACGCGUGCUACACUGAGUGGAUCAGCGGGUCAGGUUGCGCGAAAGCGUUUCCUAAUCUUUAAAUCCGCUCGUGAUGGGGAUUGACGGUUGCAAUUUUCUGUCAUGAACGAGGAAUACCUUGUAAGCGCGGGUCAUCAUCCCGCGCUGAAUACGUCCCUGCCCUUUGUACACACCGCCCGUCGCUCCUACCGAUUGAGUGGUCCGGUGAAUUAUUCGGACUGUAACGUGUUCAGUUCCUGGAUGCAGUUAUGGGAAGUUUUGUGAACCUUACCACUUAGAGGAAGGAGAAGUCGUAACA